CCUACGGGAGGCAGCAGUGGGGGAUAUUGCACAAUGGGGGAAACCCUGAUGCAGCGACGCCGCGUGGGUGAAGAAGUAUUUCGGUAUGUAAAGCCCUAUCAGCAGGGAAGAAAGAAGACGGUACCUGACUAAGAAGCCCCGGCUAACUACGUGCAAGCAGCCGCGGUAAUAGGUAGGGGGCGAGCGUUAUCCGGAUUCACUGGGUGGAAAGGGAGCGUAGACGGCCGUGCAAGCCAGGAGUGAAAGCCCGGGGCCCAACCCCGGGACUGCUCUUGGAACUGUGCGGCUGGAGUGCGGGAGGGGCAGGCGGAAUUCCUGGUGUAGCGGUGAAAUGCGUAGAUAUCAGGAGGAACACCGGCGGCGAAGGCGGCCUGCUGGACCGCGACUGACGUUGAGGCUCGAAAGCGUGGGGAGCGAACAGGAUUAGAUACCCCUGUAGUC
rnacentral:rRNA from 1 species